rnacentral:lncRNA from 1 species
ACAAUGGGGGCCCAAGGUGAGAU